GAUGAACGCUGGCGGCGUGCCUAAUACAUGCAAGUCGAGCGAACAGACGAGGAGCUUGCUCCUCUGCCGUUAGCGGCGGACGGGUGAGUAACACGUGGAUAACCUACCUAUAAGACUGGGAUAACUUCGGGAAACCGGAGCUAAUACCGGAUAAUAUAUUGAACCGCAUGGUUCAAUAGUGAAAGACGGUUUUGCUGUCACUUAUAGAUGGAUCCGCGCCGCAUUAGCUAGUUGGUAAGGUAACGGCUUACCAAGGCGACGAUGCGUAGCCGACCUGAGAGGGUGAUCGGCCACACUGGAACUGAGACACGGUCCAGACUCCUACGGGAGGCAGCAGUAGGGAAUCUUCCGCAAUGGGCGAAAGCCUGACGGAGCAACGCCGCGUGAGUGAUGAAGGUCUUCGGAUCGUAAAACUCUGUUAGUAGGGAAGAACAAAUGUGUAAGUAACUAUGCACGUCUUGACGGUACCUAAUCAGAAAGCCACGGCUAACUACGUG
rnacentral:rRNA from 1 species